AAAUGCUUUUUUUUCUUAUUUUUGUAAUUUGAGUCCACAUGGAACCAAUUAGUCGGACACAUCAUAAAAUUAUGGGUCACACAUGGUACACAUCAUCAUUUAACAAAUUAAUUAACAGAAAAUUUAAUGGAUGUAUGAAAUUGCAAUUUUUUUUUGUCAAACGAUAAAUUAUAUUAGAUUAGAUGUUAGAUUAGCCACCGACGAGGUUUAAACCCACACAGUCAUGCAAUGACUCAACAACUUUCCACCACUAUGGUAAAAGGCCACUUACUAUGAAAUUGCAAUUAUAUGAUAAGUAAUGUAUGAGAUUAAAAUGUUUUAAAGAUAUUGUAUAAGGUUACAAUUGCACCCAAACUUGAAAGUGUAAAAUGUAAUUUACCCUUGAUUUUUCUACAUAAAGAAUGACAUGUGGAAAGUCAUUUGGGAAAUGCCUCCACGAUAUUUUUGAGACCAAUGACAUGAAGAAGAUGUUAGUCAUCUUUGAUUUGAAGCAAGAAGUUCCAAUUGAUGCAGGUGUGUCAGCUUUUUUUCACUUCUGAGAAAGGGAUUCUUGUUCGAAGUAAUGCACCAGUGUACUACAAGAGAUGGAUGAAGGCCCUAAUUGAAGAUAAGGAAAAAUUGUUGGCGUCGUUGCUAGUGAGUUUGAUUUUACUUGGAUUUAGUAGUAAUAAUUUCAACCACUCACUUAUAUAUUUUUAUUUUGAUGUUAUAUACUAUUUGAGGUGUACCUAUAUAAUUUGAAGAUUCUUGAAUUUGUGAAUAAGAAGUUAGGGAAGUUGUACUCUCAGUUUAGGUUUCGGUUGCAUAGGCACUACUUAAGAAGUCAUUAUGUAAUAAGAGACCAACGAGUCAUUGACACUGAUUGUGUGAUGAUAUUUACACUACUAUAGUCUUUUGGUAUGUAUUAUAUAGAACAUACUUGAAAGACUAUCAUAAGGGAAGGGCAAGGCCAUUCAUCCAUGUUGGAAGACUAUAAAUAAAUUCGAAAUGACGUGUGUACCUUUUAUGCGGAAGCUUGAAUCUUAACACGCACCUACAAACACAA
rnacentral:lncRNA from 1 species